rnacentral:lncRNA from 1 species
CACUUUGUUACUGCAGCUGUAUUUACUCUUACACCUUUAGGGAUUUAAUUGCAUCCAUCCCCAGUCUUUCAGCUGAGUGAAACACGGCAUUUCUCAGUGCGUUCCUCUGCCUCCACUGAAAAGGUCUCUCCAGCUCUGCCAGUGGGGAGAGCAAUUUGUCACUGUUUGGCCCAGUGACGACUGUGUAAUGAUGGAGAAAGCAGCAAUCCCAAUGACUCUUCCAUUACACAAUGAAGUCAGUCUCCAAUGGCUGAAGUGAGUUUGGGGUAUGGGUUUGUGAAUUCUCUAAAGCAUUCAAAGCACAGAGAAUUACUUUAAAUGUGACUCACCCUACUUGAAUUUCUCCUUAAUCCAGUCUUCCUAGAUACUUGCACUCCUUUUCCUAACACUUUUUGGGAGUCAGCCUGGUUUUAAGGAGUAGUAUGC